AGAGUUUGAUCCUGGCUCAGGAUGAACGCUAGCGACAGGCUUAACACAUGCAAGUCGAGGGGCAGCGGGGAGGUAGCAAUACUUCCGCCGGCGACCGGCGCACGGGUGAGUAACACGUAUGGAACCUGCCCGUAGCAGGGGGAUAAGCGGAAGAAAUUCCGUCUAAUACCGCGUAAUAACUCCGAGGGGCAUCCCUUGGGGUUUAAAGGGUAACACCGGCUACGGAUGGCCAUGCGGCGCAUUAGCUAGUUGGCGGGGCAACGGCCCACCAAGGCGACGAUGCGUAGGGGUUCUGAGAGGAAGGUCCCCCACACUGGUACUGAGACACGGACCAGACUCCUACGGGAGGCAGCAGUGAGGAAUAUUGGUCAAUGGGCGCGAGCCUGAACCAGCCAAGUCGCGUGAGGGAAGACGGUCCUAUGGAUUGUAAACCUCUUUUGUCGGGGAGCAAAAGACGCCACGCGUGGCGUUCCGAGAGUACCCGAAGAAAAAGCAUCGGCUAACUCCGUGCCAGCAGCCGCGGUAAUACGGAGGAUGCGAGCGUUAUCCGGAUUUAUUGGGUUUAAAGGGUGCGCAGGCGGAAGAUCAAGUCAGCGGUAAAAUUGAGGGGCUCAACCUCUUCGAGCCGUUGAAACUGGUUUUCUUGAGUGAGCGAGAAGUAUGCGGAAUGCGUGGUGUAGCGGUGAAAUGCAUAGAUAUCACGCAGAACUCCGAUUGCGAAGGCAGCAUACCGGCGCUCAACUGACGCUCAUGCACGAAAGUGUGGGUAUCGAACAGGAUUAGAUACCCUGGUAGUCCACACAGUAAACGAUGAAUACUAAUUGUUCGGGGAGAAUGAUCCCUGAGUGAUACAGCGAAAGCGUUAAGUAUUCCACCUGGGGAGUACGCCGGCAACGGUGAAACUCAAAGGAAUUGACGGGGGCCCGCACAAGCGGAGGAACAUGUGGUUUAAUUCGAUGAUACGCGAGGAACCUUACCCGGGCUCAAACGACACAGGAAUACUUUUGAAAGGAGGUAGCUCUUAGGAGUCUGUGUCGAGGUGCUGCAUGGUUGUCGUCAGCUCGUGCCGUGAGGUGUCGGCUUAAGUGCCAUAACGAGCGCAACCCCCAUCGCCAGUUACCAGCAAGUCAAGUUGGGGACUCUGGCGAGACUGCCGGCGCAAGCUGUGAGGAAGGCGGGGAUGACGUCAAAUCAGCACGGCCCUUACGUCCGGGGCGACACACGUGUUACAAUGGCAGGUACAGAGAGAAGCAAUGCGGCGACGCAAAGCGGAACUUGAAAGCCUGUCUCAGUUCGGAUUGGAGUCUGCAACUCGACUCCAUGAAGCUGGAUUCGCUAGUAAUCGCGCAUCAGCCAUGGCGCGGUGAAUACGUUCCCGGGCCUUGUACACACCGCCCGUCAAGCCAUGGAAGCCGGGAGUGCCUGAAGUGUGCAACCGCAAGGAGCGCCCUAAGGUAAAACUGGUGACUGGGGCUAAGUCGUAACAAGGUAA
rnacentral:rRNA from 1 species